rnacentral:rRNA from 1 species
AGGACGUCAUAGAGGGUGAGAAUCCCGUAUGUGACUGGUUGCCACGCCCGUGUGAAGCUCCUUCGACGAGUCGAGUUGUUUGGGAAUGCAGCUCAAAAUGGGUGGUAAAUUUCAUCUAAAGCUAAAUAUUGGCCAGAGACCGAUAGCGCACAAGUAGAGUGAUCGAAAGAUGAAAAGCACUUUGGAAAGAGAGUCAAACAGUACGUGAAAUUGUUGAAAGGGAAGCGCUUGCAACCAGACUUGCCCGCGGGUGAUCAGCCGGUAUUCUUACCGGUGCACUCGCCCGUGGUCAGGCCAGCAUCGGUUUGGGCGGCUGGAUAAAGUCCACUGGAAUGUAGCUCCUCUCGGGGAGUGUUAUAGCCAGAGGUGCCAUGCAGCCCGCCCGGACCGAGGACCGCGCUUCGGCUAGGAUGCUGGCGUAAUGGUUGUAAGCGACCCGUCUUGAAACACGGACCAAGGAGUCUAACAUCUAUGCGAGUGUUUGGGUGUCAAACCCAUGCGCGUAAUGAAAGUGAACGGAGGUGGGAACCCUCAAGGGUGCACCAUCGACCGAUCCUGAUGUCUUCGGAUGGAUUUGAGUAAGAGCAUAGCUGUUGGGACCCGAAAGAUGGUGAACUAUGCCUGAAUAGGGUGAAGCCAGAGGAAACUCUGGUGGAGGCUCGCAGCGGUUCUGACGUGCAAAUCGAUCGUCAAAUUU